AUUGAACGCUGGCGGCAGGCUUAACACAUGCAAGUCGAGCGGAGAUGAGGUGCUUGCACCUUAUCUUAGCGGCGGACGGGUGAGUAAUGCUUAGGAAUCUGCCUAUUAGUGGGGGACAACAUUCCGAAAGGAAUGCUAAUACCGCAUACGUCCUACGGGAGAAAGCAGGGGAUCUUCGGACCUUGCGCUAAUAGAUGAGCCUAAGUCGGAUUAGCUAGUUGGUGGGGUAAAGGCCUACCAAGGCGACGAUCUGUAGCGGGUCUGAGAGGAUGAUCCGCCAAACUGGGGCUGAGACAAGGCCCAGACUCCUACGGGAGGCAGCGGUGGGGAAUAUUGGACAAUGGGGGGAACCCUGAUCCAGCCAUGCCGCGUGUGUGAAGAAGGCCUUAUGGUUGUAAAGCACUUUAAGCGAGGAGGAGGCUACUGAGACUAAUACUCUUGGACAGUGGACGUUACUCGCAGAAUAAGCACCGGCUAACUCUGUGCCAGCCGCCGCCGUAACAC
rnacentral:rRNA from 1 species